GAGUUUGAUCGUGGCUCAGGAUGAACGCUGGCGGCGUGCUUAACACAUGCAAGUCGAACGGGAAACUUUUCAUUGAAGCUUCGGCAGAUUUGGUCUGUUUCUAGUGGCGGACGGGUGAGUAACGCGUGGGUAACCUGCCUUAUACAGGGGGAUAACAACCAGAAAUGGCUGCUAAUACCGCAUAAGCGCACAGGACCGCAUGGCCCGGUGUGAAAAACUCCGGUGGUAUAAGAUGGACCCGCGUUGGAUUAGCUAGUUGGCAGGGUAACGGCCUACCAAGGCGACGAUCCAUAGCCGGCCUGAGAGGGUGAACGGCCACAUUGGGACUGAGACACGGCCCAGACUCCUACGGGAGGCAGCAGUGGGGAAUAUUGCACAAUGGGGGAAACCCUGAUGCAGCGACGCCGCGU
rnacentral:rRNA from 1 species